rnacentral:rRNA from 1 species
UACGGGGGGGGCAAGCGUUGUUCGGAAUUACUGGGCGUAAAGGGCUCGUAGGCGGCCAACUAAGUCAGACGUGAAAUCCCUCAGCUUAACUGGGGAACUGCGUCUGAUACUGGAUGGCUUGGAUUCGGGAGAGGAAUGCGGAAUUCCAGGUGUAGCGGUGACAUGCGUAGAUAUCUGGAGGAACACCGGUGGCGAAGGCGGCAUUCUGGACCGACAUUGACGCUGAGGAGCGAAAGCCAGGGGAGCAAACGGG